rnacentral:rRNA from 1 species
AACGAACGCUGGCGGCAUGCCUAACACAUGCAAGUCGAGCGAAGGCUUCGGCCUUAGUGGCGCACGGGUGCGUAACGCGUGGGAACCUGCCCCUUGGUUCGGAAUAACACAGAGAAAUUUGUGCUAAUACCGGAUAAUGACUUCGGUCCAAAGAUUUAUCGCCGAGGGAUGGGCCCGCGUAGGAUUAGCUUGUUGGGGAGGUAACGGCUCACCAAGGCGACGAUCCUUAGCUGGUCUGAGAGGAUGAUCAGCCACACUGGGACUGAGACACGGCCCAGACUCCUACGGGAGGCAGCAGUGGGGAAUAUUGGACAAUGGGCGAAAGCCUGAUCCAGCAAUGCCGCGUGAGUGAUGAAGGCCUUAGGGUUGUAAAGCUCUUUUACCCGGGAUGAUAAUGACAGUACCGGGAGAAUAAGCUCCGGCUAACUCCGUGCCAGCCGCCGCCGUAAAAC